rnacentral:lncRNA from 1 species
CUGUAAGGACAGAUAGCAGGGCCUGCCCUCUGGCCAGCAAUUUCUCUUCUUCUUUUUCCAUGUGGCUUGUCAUAGUGGGAAACGAGACAGAAAACAGAGCACUACGUUCCUUAUGACAAACAAAAGGAAUCCACAGAAACUUGGUAAAAGAAGCAGAGAAGACACUACUCCAUAUGUGUAAAAUGUGGAGCCCCAUGACCUCCUCUGCCUCAUUGCCUGCUCUGCCUCUCAAAGAGCUUCAGCAAAACACAGAAGCACAGCAGUGGCACGUGGAUGGAUACCUUUAUAAAAGAGAACCACAAUCUUCUGAAAGGCUUUCAUGAAAUGGAUGUUGUCGUAGCAGUAUUCCUGAACCUUCUGGAGGAGGAUCAGCUCUGACUGGCCUUGGGAGCUGAACACGGCCAGCAGGGGAGCAUAUUGCUAGAACAGAAGUGGAGAGUAAAAGCCGUCACUUGCGUGGGAGAAAUGCCAGCAGUGACUUGAGCAGCCUUCAAAAGCAGAAGGAGCCGGGCAGUCCCAGUCCCUGUGCUGGCUGGAGGAAGCCACAUAAAAGUGUGACAUCCUGGCAUCUACAAGCAUCACAAGGCUUUUUAUGUUUGCUUCUUUUCCCCAUGGAAAAUAAUGUACAAAUUCUUGCUUGGAGAAAUAUGAUUAAAUAUACUGCUAUCCUUAGGCGAGAAAACAGGAGCCUCGUUACCUUCUUUGACUAAGCUGUCGGUGAAGAGACUGGUGAGGAUGGUGGCGGGCAGGGUGCCAUUGCCCAGCAGAAUCCCCGACAGCAUCGCCAACUUUGUCUGCUCUGUUUCGGAAAAGGCUUUAAGGAAGAGGAGAAGCUGUGGGUCAAAAAAAAAAAAAAAAAAAGAAAAAGAAAAAGAAAAAAAAAGGAACCAUGUCUAUGAAGCAAAGGACUGAAGUGGGAAGAUAAACUGUGAACAUCCAUGGCUACGUGGCACACAAACAGAAGGUCAUAUGCAAAGCAUAGUAAUUCA